UACGUAGGGUGCGAGCGUUUAAUCGGAAUUACUGGGCGUAAAGCGUGCGCAGGCGGUUUGUUAAGGCAGAUGUGAAAUCCCCGGGCUUAACCUGGGAACUGCAUUUGUGACUGGCAAGCUAGAGUAUGGCAGAGGGGGGGUAGAAUUCCACGUGUAGCAGUGAAAUGCGUAGAUAUGUGGAGGAAUACCGAUGGCGAAGGCAGCCCCCUGGGUCAAGACUGACGCUCAUGCACGAAAGCGUGGGGAGCAAACAAGG
rnacentral:rRNA from 1 species